rnacentral:lncRNA from 1 species
CAGCACCAUGCUUCUUGUACAGCCUGAGGAACCUUCCAUUGUGAGUGCUGUGGCUUGUGUUUCACAUCGUGUGACAACCUGUGGCCCUGCAUCUCCCAGACACAGUGCCAGGGUAAGUCCCAGGCCAGGCACACCACUAACUGACUGAAGAACCCUUGGACCUUGAGGGAACAUUGGUGGUAGCUUGGCAAUACUCUCUGUGGGCCUGUGGUGGUGGCGGCCACAGGUGAGGCUCCUUUGACUGUGGAAAUGGGAGGGAAGAGUGGGAAGGACUGUGUCUUGUAGUUUGAGCGACAGCUCAGCCACAGUACA